GCAGGGAAGGGUCAAAGAGAGUGGGAGAAAAACAGUGGGGUGAGUGAGAAAGAAGGAGAGGGCAAAGAGAAUGGGAGAAAAUGAGAGUGAGGUAAGAGAGAAAGAAGGAGGGGGAGAGUAGGGUGAGAGAGAGAAUGGAUUUAGCUACUCUGAGAUUGAUGGAGGUUCCUGGCUCGAGCUUCCUGCCUGUUUUGGACUACUGCCAAACUUGAACUCCGCUUGGUUUAGCCUACUUGGAUUUACUAUUUUUGACUCUCCCACAGCCCGAUGAAAAGCUUGCCUCCCUCCCGGCCUCCACCAGCCUAUACUGGAAACUACUUCCCUCCAAUGUACUAUACACUUGGCUAUCAUACUGGUACAUGGCCUCCGUUGUGUUGCUGUUUUGAUGGGCCCCAGCAUUUAAUCGCAUUGAACUGGUCGUCGUGCCACUGCCUUGCCACCAUGUCGCACCUCUCCCCCCACCUCCCUUGAAGAAUAAAGGAACAUAAUGGACGCUUUUUGAGGACCAGGAGGCAUGUCACACACCAUAAGCCCAGUGCAAGGCAGCGGUGGAUACACACAGUCUCGCACACCUGCUUCCAGAGAUUCCUGCUCCUUCAUCCUCUACCCUGUCUCCUGAGGGUCCAGCUCAGUGGGUUUCUACCACAAGACCAUACCCUCAGGCUUCCUCUCACAUCAAGCCUCGAGGGUGUCUGAGGCUUCAGUCCCCCUCAGUUUUCAAAUCACGUAGAGGGCUUUGGUUGUUGCACGAUAGCAACCAAAUCCCAUGCAAGUCAGUUUAUGAAAUUCCAUCACUGGUUACUCUGAGAGUUCCUCAUUGACAUUGGCUGCAGCCUCAGGCAUUAUGGUGCUAACUUUGGAAAAGUAUUUCCAAUUUCUACUCCUUCCUGUAUUACUAAUAGGGAUAGACCAAAUAGAACCCCACAGUGGAGAUGUUAUAAUACCCAUAAAACCUAGCAGUCAAACAGGGAAAUGGUUCCAAUCAAACCAGCCUUCGCUUGGCUCCCCCUCCUGUCCAGCUCAGGCGUUCGGCGUCGCUGGCCUUCUAGCUGCUGCUGAACCUGCUGCUGGAUAACGCCCUUCUCUCAUCAACCCCGGACUUGUCUCGUCAUCAUUACACACACCUGGUUCCAAUCUCCACUCUAUCACUGUAUAUAUACUCCCUCUGUCAUUU
rnacentral:lncRNA from 1 species